rnacentral:rRNA from 1 species
GACGAACGCUGGCGGCGUGCCUAAUACAUGCAAGUCGAACGCAGUGGGGACGGGUGAGUAACACGUGGGUAACCUCCCAUCAGAGGGGAUAACACUUGGAAACAGGUGCUAAACAGAUACUGAUGGAUGGACCCGCGGUGCAUUAGCGAGUUGGUGGGGUAACGGCUCACCAAGGCCACGAUGCAUAGGCGACCUGUGAGGGUGAUCGGCAACACUGGGAAUGUGGAAACGCCCAGACUCCCACGGGAGGCAGCAGUAGGGAAUCUUCGGAAAUGGACGAAAGUUUGACGGAGCAACGCCGCGUGAGUGAUGACGGCCUUCGGGUUGUAAAGCUCUGUUAAUCGGGACGCGGUACCGGAAUAGAAAGCCACGGCUAACUACGUGCCAGCCGCCGCGGUAAUAC